rnacentral:lncRNA from 1 species
GUCCAGGCCAGUGCUUAAGCCAAUGGAGAAGGGAGGAGGUAAGGAAGUUGGAGUCAAAGAGGCAGUCUUGGGGCCCUUGUGAAUUGAUGAAUAUGAAGACACUAAGAAAGCAGAAAUAGAACUGAGAAGAAUGAAAUAACUGUCUCUACCUUUCUCGAAUUGUCUAAUAUGGAAAGAAUGAAAGACAGCUAAUAAGCAACUCUCUGCAAGAAGACAUAUGGCUUAGAGAUGGGAUCUUGCUAUGUGGCCCAGGCUGGCCUCAAACUCCUGGCCUCAAGAUAUUUCCCCCUGCCUUGGCCUCUCAAAGUGAAUCUACUUGGAGAGAGUCAAACACAGAAUCCCUUUGAAUUUAAUGGCCAUUCCAGGUGAUUUGAACAGCCAAAUAAGAAACAGGUCCUCUUCAAUGUACAAUCUGCCAAGUAUGAAGUCUGAAUGACCAUCAUUAUUAUGUAUUUAAUGUGCAUAGAAAAUCUAUCUGCAACCUUCCAGAGUGUACCAGAAGUUUGGAAUGUACAUUAUUAUUGGCUCCAUCUCAAACCACUCAUAAAUCAAAGAAAAUAGCAGUUCCAGAGGAAUCAUCAUAGAGGCUUCUAGGCCCCCAUGCUGUGUGAACCUGGUGAGAAAGGGAAGUCUGCUCUCACUGGACACUGGAACUGUUUGUCUCUGUCUCUGCUGUACUUUCCCUGCCUCUACCUCACUUAGUAAAGAAAUCAUCUUUGCUUGAUAACUAAAACAACCAAUAAGGCUGAGAAAGGGGAAAACCCACAUCUGGAUUUAAAUACAAGGUAUUGGGCCAGCUGCUGGGGAUUAAACUUUGAACAAAACAGAUAGAAUCUAUGUCCUCAUGGGAGUGGCUAAUGGGAGAGUCGGAACAAAAAAAUAGCCAAGGAUAAUCCAGCAAAUGAUUUGGUGAAUGCUAUCAAAGAGAGAAAUACACAUGCUCUGGGAACACCAAGAAUAAACGAGAGAAAGGGACAUUAAUAUAUAUUGAAUAUCUGCUGUGUCAGGCACCUUACAUAUAUUGAUUGCUUCUUCACUUCUUUUAAUCUUUACUACACCACAUGAGGCUGUCAUAGAGAUUCUGAGAACAAAUUGUCUAAUUGAGAAACUGCUGAGCAUUGGAAAUGAGCUUGCCAGGGGAACAGAGGGAUACCUGAAUAGCGAAUGCA